UACGUAGGGUGCAAGCGUUGUCCGGAUUUAUUGGGCGUAAAGAGCUCGUAGGCGGCUUGUCGCGUCGACUGUGAAAUCCCGCGGCUCAACUGCGGGUCUGCAGUCGAUACGGGCAGGCUAGAGUUCGGUAGGGGAGACUGGAAUUCCUGGUGUAGCGGUGAAAUGCGCAGAUAUCAGGAGGAACACCGAUGGCGAAGGCAGCUCGCUGGGACGGUACUGACGCUGAGGCGCGAAAGCGUGGGAGCAAACAGG
rnacentral:rRNA from 1 species